AUAUAUAUAUAUAUAUAUUAAGUUUUAAAUUAAAUUUUAUACCCCUAAAAACUAUAAUAAUUAUACGUACAAAAUAAAUAGAUUUAAAUCUACAUAAUAAAUAAAUAUAUAUAUAUAUAUACACACACACCAUUGAACUUGAUGGGAUACACGAAACUAAUUUCAACGAUCCAACCGUUAAACUUGUUUGUAUAUGUUUCGAGAUCGUAUCAGCAAAAAAUCGCAAAAAACAAACAUUCAGAGAUUAAGUAACGAGACAAAACUUUUCGACGGUUUUAAAGCAAAAAAUCACGAUUUAACGAUUAUUUUAAUUCCGAUUUUAUUGAUUUUUUACAGCUACACUCCUUGACCCUAUAUGAAUACAAUGAAUGAAUUUUAUUUUCAAUUUAAAAUAUUUACUCUAGUGGAUACCACAAAAUCUUAUGUUAUACUUAAUGAAAGUAUAAAUAAAUUCUAAGUGUUAGUGAAUCUAUCGUUUUGAUGGGAUACGAAUUAUAUGAAACUAAUUUCAACGUUCCAACCGUCAAACUUGUUUGUAUAUGCUUCGAGAUCGCAUACACCAAAAAUCACAAAAAACAAACAUUCAUAGAUCAAGUAAUGAGACAAAACUUUUCGAUGGUUAUAAAACAAAAAAUCACGAUUUUACGGUUAUUUUAACUCCGAUUUUGAUGAUUUUUUACAACUACACUCCUUGACCCUAUAUGAAUACAAUGAAUGAAUUCGAUUUUCAAUUUAAAAUAUUUACACUAGUGUUUAUGUUAUACACAAUGAAAGUAUAAAUAAACCAAGUGUUAGUGAAUCUAUCGUUUUGAUGGGAUACGAAUUCUAUGAAACUAAUUUCAACGAUCCAACCGUCGAACUUGUUUGUAUAUGCUUCGAGAUCUCAUACGCCAAAAAUCACAAAAAAACAAACAUUCAGAGAUCAAGUAAUGAGACAAAACUUUUCGACGGUUAUAAAACAAAAAAUCACGAUUUAACAGUUAUUUUAACUCCGAUUUUGAUGAUUUUUUACAGCUACACUCCUUGACCCUAUAUGAAUACAAUGAAUGAAUUUCAUUUUCAAUUUAAAAUAUUUACACUAGUGGAUACCACAAAAUCUUAUGUUAUACUUAAUGAAAGUAUAAAUAAACUCUAAGUGUUAGUGAAUAUCGUUUUGAUGGGAUAUGAAUUCUAUGAAACUAAUUUCAAUGAUCCAACCGUCAAACUUGUUUUUAUAUGCUUUGAGAUCGCAUACGCCAAAAAUCACAAAAAACAAACAUUCAGAGAUCAAGUAAUGAGACAAAACUUUUCGACGGUUAUAAAACAAAAAAUCACAAUUUAACGGUUAUUUUAACUUCGAUUUUGAUGAUUUUUUACAACUACACUCCUUGACCUUAUACGAAUACAAUGAAUGAAUUUGAUCUUCAAUUUAAAAUAUUUACAAAAGUGGAUACCACAAAAUCUUAUGUUAUACUUAAUAAAAUUAUACAUAAACUCUACGUGUUAGUGAAUCUAUCGUUUUGAUGGGAUACGAAUUAUAUGAAACUAAUUUCAACGAUCCAACCGUCAAACUUGUUUUUAUAUGCUUCGAGAUCGCAUACGCCAAAAAUCACAAAAAAAAAAAAACAUUCAGAGAUCAAGUAAUUAGACAAAACGUUUCGACGGUUAUAAAACAAAAUAUCACGAUUUAACGGUUAAUUUAACUCCGAUUUUGAUAAUUUUUUACAACUAUACUCCUUGACCCUGUACGAAUACAAUGAAUGAAUUUGAUCAUCAAUUUAGAAUAUUUACACAAGUGGAUACCACAAAAUCUUAUGUUAUACUUAGUGAAAGUAUAAAUAAACUAAGUGUUAGUGAAUCUAUCGUUUUGAUAGAAUACGAAUUAUAUGAAACUAAUUUUAACGAUCCAACCGUCAAACGUAUUUGUAUAUGCUUCGAGAUCGCACACGCCAAAAAUCACAAAAAACAAACAUUCAGAGAUCAAGUAAUGAGACAAAACUUUUCGACGGUUAUAAAACAAAAAAUCACGAUUUAACAGGGAUACCACAAAAUCUUAUGUUAUACUUGAUGAAAGUAUAAAUAAACUCUAAGUGUUAGUGAAUAUUGUUUUGAUGGGAUAUGAAUUCUAUGAAACUAAUUUCAACAAGCCAACCGUCAAACUUGUUUGUAUAUGCUUCAAGAUUCCAUACCCCAAAACUCAAAAAAAACGAACAUUCAGAUAUCAAGUAAUGAGACAAAAUGUUUCGACGGUUAUAAAACAAAAAAUCACGAUUUAACGGUUAUUUUAACUCUGAUUUUGAUGAUUUUUUACAACUACACUCCUUGACCCUAUACGAAUACAAUGAAUGAAUUUGAUCGUUAAUUUAAAAUAUUUACACAAGUGGAUACCACAAAAUCUUAUGUUAUACUUAAUAAAAGUAUAAAUAAACUCCAAGUGUUAGUGAAUCUAUCGUUUUGAUGGGAUACGAAUUAUAUGAAACUAAUUUCAAUGAUCCAACCGUCAAACUUGUUUUUAUAUGCUUCGAGAUCGCAUACGCCAAAAAUCACAAAAAAACAAAUAUUCAGAGAUCAAGUAAUUAGACAAAACUUUUCGACGGUUAUAAAACAAAAAAUCACGAUUUAACGGUUAUUUUAACUCCGAUUUUGAUGAUUUAUUACAACUACACUCCUUGACCCUAUACGAAUACAAUGAAUGAAUUUGAUUGUCAAUUUAAAAUAUUUACACAAGUGGAUAGCACAAAAUCUUAUGUUAUACUUAAUGAAAGUAUAAAUAAACUCUAAGUGUUAGUGAAUCUAUCGUUUUGAUGAGAUACGAAUUAUAUGAAACUAAUUUUAACGAUCCAACUGUCAAACUUAUUUGUAUAUGCUUCGAGAUCGCAUACGCUAAAAAUCACAAAAAACAAACAUUCAGAGAUCAAGUAAUUAGACAAAACUUUUCGACAGUUAUAAAAGAAAAAAUCAUGAUUUAACGGUUAUUUUAACUCCGAUUUUGAUGAUUUUUUACAACUACACUCCUUAACCAUAUAUGAAUACAAUGAAUGAAUUUGAUCGUCAAUUUAAAAUAUUUACACAAGUGGAUACCAGAAAAUCUUAUGUUAUACUUAAUGAAAGUAUAAAUAAACUCUACGUGUUAAUGAAUCUAUCGUUUUGAUGGGAUACGAAUUCUAUGAAACUAAUUUUAACGAUUCAACCGUCAAACUUGUUUGUAUAUGCUUCGAGAUCGCAUACGCCAAAAAUCACAAACUUGUUUGUAUAUGCUUCGAGAUCACAACCGUCAAACUUGUUUUUUUAUUAGGCUAUUAUUUUCGAGUGUAGAUGUAGUACUUAAAUGACAAAUAUGUUUUAAUGUUUUGAAGUAAUAUUUAUGUGGUAAUGUGUGGUAUGUGCAAAUUUAAGAAAAUUUAUAUUUUUCUUAACGGGUCAUAACGGGUUCACUUUACCCGUUGGGUA
rnacentral:lncRNA from 1 species